rnacentral:rRNA from 1 species
GGGACGAACGCUGGCGGCGUGCUUAACACAUGCAAGUCGAACGGAAAGGCCCUUCGGGGUACUUGAGUGGCGAACGGGUGAGUAACACGUGGGUGAUCUGCCCUGCACUUUGGGAUAAGCCUGGGAAACUGGGUCUAAUACCGAAUAGGACCACGCGCUUCAUGGUGUGUGGUGGAAAGCUUUUGCGGUGUGGGGUGGGCCCGCGGCCUAUCAGCUUGUUGGUGGGGUAAUGGCCUACCAAGGCGACGACGGGUAGCCGGCCUGAGAGGGUGACCGGCCACACUGGGACUGAGAUACGGCCCAGACUCCUACGGGAGGCAGCAGUGGGGAAUAUUGCACAAUGGGCGCAAGCCUGAUGCAGCGACGCCGCGUGAGGGAUGACGGCCUUCGGGUUGUAAACCUCUUUCAAUAGGGACGAAGCGCAAGUGACGGUACCUAUAGAAGAAGCACCGGCCAACUACGUGCCAGCAGCCGCGGUAAUACGUAGGGUGCGAGCGUUGUCCGGAAUUACUGGGCGUAAAGAGCUCGUAGGUGGUUUGUCGCGUUGUUCGUGAAAACUCACAGCUUAACUGUGGGCGUGCGGGCGAUACGGGCAGACUAGAGUACUGCAGGGGAGACUGGAAUUCCUGGUGUAGCGGUGGAAUGCGCAGAUAUCAGGAGGAACACCGGUGGCGAAGGCGGGUCUCUGGGCAGUAACUGACGCUGAGGAGCGAAAGCGUGGGGAGCGAACAGGAUUAGAUACCCUGGUAGUCCACGCCGUAAACGGUGGGUACUAGGUGUGGGUUCCUUCCUUGGGAUCCGUGCCGUAGCUAACGCAUUAAGUACCCCGCCUGGGGAGUACGGCCGCAAGGCUAAAACUCAAAGGAAUUGACGGGGGCCCGCACAAGCGGCGGAGCAUGUGGAUUAAUUCGAUGCAACGCGAAGAACCUUACCUGGGUUUGACAUGCACAGGACGCCGGCAGAGAUGUCGGUUCCCUUGUGGCCUGUGUGCAGGUGGUGCAUGGCUGUCGUCACCUCGUGUCGUGAGAUGUUGGGUUAAGUCCCGCAACGAGCGCAACCCUUGUCCUAUGUUGCCAGCGGGUUAUGCCGGGGACUCGUAGGAGACUGCCGGGGUCAACUCGGAGGAAGGUGGGGAUGACGUCAAGUCAUCAUGCCCCUUAUGUCCAGGGCUUCACACAUGCUACAAUGGCCGGUACAAAGGGCUGCGAUGCCGUGAGGUGGAGCGAAUCCUUUCAAAGCCGGUCUCAGUUCGGAUCGGGGUCUGCAACUCGACCCCGUGAAGUCGGAGUCGCUAGUAAUCGCAGAUCAGCAACGCUGCGGUGAAUACGUUCCCGGGCCU